rnacentral:lncRNA from 1 species
CUAUGACAACCCAAGUAAUAAGGCUAUUGCACACAGCCCUUUUGAAUUCAGAUUUAACAACUCUUGUUAAUACAGCAGAUGUGGAAAUUUUGCUGCAAGGUCAGAUCCGUUGGAAAGAAGACAACUUCAACUUUCCAUAUUGUAUUUAAACUCCAAAAUCAGACACCAUAUGGAUCCGAGGUGGCAAAAUGGCAGCAAAGAUGUAUAUGGUGGUGGAUCUCUUGGUGACCAAAACGUGAUAGAACUCAAAACUCUAAAAGAAUAAACACUAAGACUAGCAGUUGAAUACAACCGAUACAACCGAAGACUCAACAAGCCCUAAUUAAGUAUCACUAUUAAAAGGUUCAAAGGGUGUUUAGGAAUAAGGUAAAUGAAUCUACUAAUUUUUUUGGGCUUUUUAUGGGCUAUAGGAAAUUAAAAACAGCAAAGAACUGGAAGUCUCUCACCGAUCAACCUUGCUCUAAGUACCAACUGAUGUGAACCCGUUGGGUUGAAUCCCGACCUUUCGAUGAGAGGGGAGGGGAUAACUCAAUUGGUGGAUGGAGAUGACAUUCAUGGAUCGACUACAGCCUUCCAAGGACGCCGCACCUUAGCAACUCAUACACCACCUCCAAUGGUUGCAACGAUCUUGUGGAGCGCAACACCCCGGCCACUAGGGCACUCGUCCAGCAAGCAAUCGAAG